rnacentral:rRNA from 1 species
UACGGAGGAUGCAAGCGUUAUCCGGAAUGAUUGGGCGUAAAGCGUCCGCAGGUGGCUGUGUAAGUCUGCUGUUAAAGAGUGAGGCUCAACCUCAUAAAGGCAGUGGAAACUACAUGGCUAGAGUGCGUUCGGGGCAGAGGGAAUUCCUGGUGUAGCGGUGCAAUGCGUAGAGAUCAGGAAGAACACCGGUGGCGAAGGCGCUCUGCUAGGCCGCAACUGACACUGAGGGACGAAAGCUAGGGGAGCGAAUGGG